GGGUUGUGAGGUUAAGCGACUAAGCGUACACGGUGGAUGCCCUGGCAGUCAGAGGCGAUGAAGGACGUGCUAAUCUGCGAAAAGCGUCGGUAAGGUGAUAUGAACCGUUACAGCCGGCGAUGUCCGAAUGGGGAAACCCAGUGCAAUUCGUUGCACUAUCGUUAACUGAAUACAUAGGUUAACGAGGCGAACCGGGGGAACUGAAACAUCUAAGUACCCCGAGGAAAAGAAAUCAACCGAGAUUCCCCCAGUAGCGGCGAGCGAACGGGGAGCAGCCCAGAGUCUGAAUCAGCUUGUGUGUUAGUGGAACGGUCUGGAAAGUCCGACGGUACAGGGUGAUAGUCCCGUACACCAAAAUGCACAGGUUGUGAACUCGAAGAGUAGGGCGGGACACGUGGUAUCCUGUCUGAAUAUGGGGGGACCAUCCUCCAAGGCUAAAUACUCCUGACUGACCGAUAGUGAACCAGUACCGUGAGGGAAAGGCGAAAAGAACCCCGGCGAGGGGAGUGAAAAAGAACCUGAAACCGUGUACGUACAAGCAGUGGGAGCACCUUCGGGUGUGACUGCGUACCUUUUGUAUAAUGGGUCAGCGACUUAUAUUCUGUAGCAAGGUUAACCGUAUAGGGGAGCCGCAGGGAAACCGAGUCUUAACUGGGCGUUAAGUUGCAGGGUAUAGACCCGAAACCCGGUGAUCUAGCCAUGGGCAGGUUGAAGGUUGGGUAACACUAACUGGAGGACCGAACCGACUAAUGUUGAAAAAUUAGCGGAUGACUUGUGGCUGGGGGUGAAAGGCCAAUCAAACCGGGAGAUAGCUGGUUCUCCCCGAAAGCUAUUUAGGUAGCGCCUCGUGAACUCAUCUUCGGGGGUAGAGCACUGUUUCGGCUAGGGGGUCAUCCCGACUUACCAACCCGAUGCAAACUACGAAUACCGAAGAAUGUUAUCACGGGAGACACACGGCGGGUGCUAACGUCCGUCGUGAAGAGGGAAACAACCCAGACCGCCAGCUAAGGUCCCAAAGUCAUGGUUAAGUGGGAAACGAUGUGGGAAGGCACAGACAGCCAGGAUGUUGGCUUAGAAGCAGCCAUCAUUUAAAGAAAGCGUAAUAGCUCACUGGUCGAGUCGGCCUGCGCGGAAGAUGUAACGGGGCUAAACCAUGCACCGAAGCUGCGGCAGCGACACUAUGUGUUGUUGGGUAGGGGAGCGUUCUGUAAGCCUGCGAAGGUGACCUGUGAGGGUUGCUGGAGGUAUCAGAAGUGCGAAUGCUGACAUAAGUAACGAUAAAGCGGGUGAAAAGCCCGCUCGCCGGAAGACCAAGGGUUCCUGUCCAACGUUAAUCGGGGCAGGGUGAGUCGACCCCUAAGGCGAGGCCGAAAGGCGUAGUCGAUGGGAAACAGGUUAAUAUUCCUGUACUUGGUGUUACUGCGAAGGGGGGACGGAGAAGGCUAUGUUAGCCGGGCGACGGUUGUCCCGGUUUAAGCAUGUAGGCUGGUUAUCCAGGCAAAUCCGGAUAAUCAAGGCUGAGGUGUGAUGACGAGGCACUACGGUGCUGAAGUAACAAAUGCCCUGCUUCCAGGAAAAGCCUCUAAGCAUCAGGUAACAUCAAAUCGUACCCCAAACCGACACAGGUGGUCAGGUAGAGAAUACCAAGGCGCUUGAGAGAACUCGGGUGAAGGAACUAGGCAAAAUGGUGCCGUAACUUCGGGAGAAGGCACGCUGGUGUGUAGGUGAAGUCCCUGCGGAUGGAGCUGAGACCAGUCGAAGAUACCAGCUGGCUGCAACUGUUUAUUAAAAACACAGCACUGUGCAAACACGAAAGUGGACGUAUACGGUGUGACGCCUGCCCGGUGCCGGAAGGUUAAUUGAUGGGGUUAUCCGUAAGGAGAAGCUCUUGAUCGAAGCCCCGGUAAACGGCGGCCGUAACUAUAACGGUCCUAAGGUAGCGAAAUUCCUUGUCGGGUAAGUUCCGACCUGCACGAAUGGCGUAAUGAUGGCCAGGCUGUCUCCACCCGAGACUCAGUGAAAUUGAACUCGCUGUGAAGAUGCAGUGUACCCGCGGCAAGACGGAAAGACCCCGUGAACCUUUACUAUAGCUUGACACUGAACAUUGAGCCUUGAUGUGUAGGAUAGGUGGGAGGCUUUGAAGCGUGGACGCCAGUCUGCGUGGAGCCAACCUUGAAAUACCACCCUUUAAUGUUUGAUGUUCUAACGUUGGCCCCUUACCGGGGUUGCGGACAGUGUCUGGUGGGUAGUUUGACUGGGGCGGUCUCCUCCCAAAGCGUAACGGAGGAGCACGAAGGUUAGCUAAUCCUGGUCGGACAUCAGGAGGUUAGUGCAAUGGCAUAAGCUAGCUUGACUGCGAGCGUGACGGCGCGAGCAGGUGCGAAAGCAGGUCAUAGUGAUCCGGUGGUUCUGAAUGGAAGGGCCAUCGCUCAACGGAUAAAAGGUACUCCGGGGAUAACAGGCUGAUACCGCCCAAGAGUUCAUAUCGACGGCGGUGUUUGGCACCUCGAUGUCGGCUCAUCACAUCCUGGGGCUGAAGUAGGUCCCAAGGGUAUGGCUGUUCGCCAUUUAAAGUGGUACGCGAGCUGGGUUUAGAACGUCGUGAGACAGUUCGGUCCCUAUCUGCCGUGGGCGCUGGAGAAUUGAGGGGGGCUGCUCCUAGUACGAGAGGACCGGAGUGGACGCAUCACUGGUGUUCGGGUUGUCAUGCCAAUGGCACUGCCCGGUAGCUAAAUGCGGAAGAGAUAAGUGCUGAAAGCAUCUAAGCACGAAACUUGCCCCGAGAUGAGUUCUCCCUGAGACUUUAAGUCUCCUGAAGGAACGUUAAAGACGAUGACGUUGAUAGGCCGGGUGUGUAAGCGCAGCGAUGCGUUGAGCUAACCGGUACUAAUGAACCGUGAGGCUUAACCUUACAACGCCGAAG
rnacentral:rRNA from 1 species